rnacentral:rRNA from 1 species
GACGGGACCCGCACAAGCAGCGGAGCAUGUGGUUUAAUUCGAAGCAACGCGAAGAGCCUUACCAGAUCUUGACAUCCAAUUGACCAUCUUUUAAUCGAGAUUUUGCCUUCGGGUACAAUUGAGACAGGUGGUGCAUGGUUGUCGUCAGCUCGUGUCGUGAGAUGUUGGGUUAAGUCCCGCAACGAGCGCAACCCUUGUGUUUAGUUGCAAACAGGUCAAGCUGUGCACUCUAGACAGACUGCCGUGGACAACACGGAGGAAGGUGGGGAUGACGUCAAAUCAUCAUGCCCCUUAUGAUCUGGGCUACACACGUGCUACAAUGGCCGGUACAACGGGCAGCGAAGGAGCGAUCCGGAGCGAAUCCUAAAAAGCCGGUCCCAGUUCGGAUUGCAGGCUGAAACUCGCCUACAUGAAGUUGGAGUUGCUAGUAAUCGCGAAUCAGAAUGUCGCGGUGAAUGCGUUCCCGGGUCUU